GACGAACGCUGGCGGCGUGCUUAACACAUGCAAGUCGAACGGAAAGGCCCUGCUUGCAGGGUGCUCGCGUGGCGAACGGGUGAGUAACACGUGGGUGAUCUGCCCCUUACUUUGGGAUAAGCCUGGGAAACUGGGUCUAAUACUGGAUAGGACCAUGCUGUCGGUGGUGUGGUGGAAAGAUUAGUUUCGGUAAGGGAUGAGCUCGCGGCCUAUCAGCUUGUUGGUGGGGUAAUGGCCUACCAAGGCGUCGACGGGUAGCCGGCCUGAGAGGGUGGACGGCCACAUUGGGACUGAGAGACGGCCCAGACUCCUACGGGAGGCAGCAGUGGGGAAGAUUGCACAAUGGGCGCAAGCCUGAUGCAGCGACGCCGCGUGGGGGAUGACGGCCUUCGGGUUGUAAACUCCUUUCAGCCAUGACGAAGCCCUUGUGGUGACGGUAGUGGUAGAAGAAGCACCGGCUAACUACGUG
rnacentral:rRNA from 1 species